UCGAAAAAAUUGAAGCUAUAAUUCCAAAAAAGAUAUUAUUAGAAUCUUGAUUAUGUUUAGCUCAGAGCCAAUAUCUAGAGAAAUGGAUAAGUUGAAUAGUUUCUUUUUUUCCGGUGGUGGUGGGGGUUCUUCAAGCUUCAAAAAUGGUGAAGGAAUGGAGUCUGAGUUCUUUAGGAGCAAAGAAAUGAUGGGUUCUGAUUUUUUUCAGCAACAGUCACAGUUUCAGCAGAGUAAUUCCGGUGGGUUAACGAGGUACAGGUCAGCUCCAAGUUCGUUUUUCGCCGGAAUUCUUGACGGAGACGGGAAUAAUUCCGGUGAAAAUUUCAUUACCGGUGAUGGGUCUUCGAGUUCUGAUUCGGAUUCCAUGUUCACCGCCUUAUUGAACAAUAACGACACCACCAACAACAAUGGUACUCGAGAUAUGAAUGAUCAAAACCAGAAGAAUCAGCUUCAGUUUGGUACUUCUUUGAAACAGGAGAUUGGUGAGGAGAUUGAAUUUGGGAAUGAAAAUGGUGUACAAAAUAGAUAUGAGAACGGUGGUGUUUCUUAUAGUGUAGGGGUGCAAAUGCAAACUAGAGCAAAUUUGAGUAAUGGAAAUGGUGACUCUGAUCUCAUCAGACAAAACAGUUCACCUGCUGGAUUCUUCAAUGGAUUUAUGAGAGAAGUUGGGAAUUUCGGAGCAAGUGUUGGGACUAACAGGGAAGCAAGUACAUCAACUAAUGGUUUCAACAAUCAUAUAAGUUACUCAACUAAUCAAUCAUCUACCUCAAACUUCAUGCCUAGCAUUGCUGAGAAUGAAUCUUGGAACGACGCGUCGUUUAAUUCCUUGAAGAGAAAUAGAGAUGGUGAUCUGAAAAUGUUCUCUACUAAUUUCAAUGGAAUGACUAAUCAGAAUGACGAAUCAAGAAACUACACUUCUUCUGGUUUAUCUCAUCAUUUAAGCUUGCCUAAGACAUCUUCUGAGAUGGCUGCCAUAGAGAAAUACCUACAGUUCCAACAAGAUUCAGUGCCUUGCAAAAUACGUGCUAAACGAGGCUGUGCUACGCACCCACGAAGUAUUGCAGAAAGGAUGAGACGUACUCGGAUUAGUGAAAGAAUGAAAAAACUGCAAGAUCUUUUCCCAAAUAUGGACAAGCAAACAAACACAGCUGAUAUGUUAGAUUUGGCAGUUGAUUACAUUAAAGACCUUCAGAAACAAGUCCAGACACUGACCGAUAAAAAGGCGAAAUGCUCGUGUACAAGUAAGCAGCUGCAAUAUUCAAAUGGAACAACAUGAAAUAGUCUUGUGUACAGAUAGUAAUAGGUGAAGUUAGAUGGAAAAGGAGAGUAAAUAAACUCUCUUUCUACCCUAAUAUGCUGGAAAUAUGGUUCUACUUUGUUUUUAUUUUGCAACAAGGCAAGUGUAGUUUUCAAUGUAUUAUUGAGUUUGAUUAGAUCUAAUAACAGUCUAGUGAGUACAAUCUAGAUGUAUAGGAGCACAUGAUUAUUGUAUUAUGCUGUUGUUUAUUGGAAUUUAACUAUGUUAUUAGUUGAUUCAAAACUUUAUAAG
rnacentral:misc_RNA from 1 species